AAAAAGACCAUGCUUGUAUUAAAUCUUUUUAUUCUCCACAACUGUAUGACAGCUUAGGGGACAUUAAUAUUUGUGAAAUAAUUAAAGAAAUAACAGUGGAGAUGCAGACAUCUGAGCAGCCCGCUGAACCAGGUACAGUGUUCUCCUGAACCAGGUACAGCCUCCCCACAAAACAGGUACAGCGUCCCUGCUGAACCAGGUACAGCAUCCCCCUGAACCAGGUACAGUGUCCCCUUGGACCAGGUACAGCGUCCCC